CUGACAUGCCCGUCUCGGCCACAAGGAGGCAGUAUAACGCAGUCUUCCAAACAAACAUGGAAGAAUAGUACCUCUACUUUUCCUCGAAGUCACUCAGUGGGAUGCUUUGAUAUUAAUCAUUUUUCAUAGAGGACAACGAAUGUGUGCCUGUGAGUGUUGGGAUAUUACAUAUCUGUCAAGAAAACGUCACCUGGGAUGGCAAACAAAAAUGGAACACAGAAGCCACCUGCAGAUAAGAACCAGCACGCUUGAGGAGAUGGGGGUGGCACAAAAGAGGUACUGGUCAGGCAUCUCAGAGCGGAGAGAAAACGUGAAGCAGUGCUGCUGCUGCUUUCGAAACAAGGUGAUGCUCAAGUGAUGUGCUUCUCUCUUGUUAUUUUCUGUAACUUCCUGCCUAAAAAUAAAACACCCCACCCGCAACUUCAA